rnacentral:lncRNA from 10 species
CGGCGGGAGGCGGGGCCGGGGGCGCGCAGACGGGAGGCGUCGCCCCCCAGCCCCGACCUCCGCCCGGGAGUGCGUGCGCGGCUGGUUCGCUGACUCCAGGGGUCAACGCUCGCGACCGCCUGAAGAAGCCCACGCCGGCAUCAGCCCCAUUUGACAAGCAGGAAAACCGAGGCCUAGAGAGGCGAAGUCGCCUGCCCAGCGUCCCACAGUAGCCAGGGAGGACUGUUCACCCACGCUUGCGGGGCACUGGUGGUUGAGAGGAAAAGUCCCCCACACUCCGCGGGGCCAGCGUCGCGCAGAUCCUCGGACCUCCUCCUGCUGGGUGGGGACCUGACGCAAGGGGAAGAUGGGGACAAAAUGAGCUGGGAGGUGUCAGACCCCCACAUUGAGUAAAUGCCACCGAGCACAGGUUCCUUCAGGCGGCCUCCAAUCCUCUCCACCCCGGCCUGCCACCCUCCACCCCAGACGGGCUUAGUGGGCACCUUGGCUUUCCCCGUCCUGAGAGGCUGCUGCCACCCUCGAGGACAGUCUUCCAAAUGGCUGUCCCUGCAUUCAAGAUGUCUUCGCGGAAUAGACAGCAGGAUCCUUACUGGACUGUGAGUGAGUGACGGACAAGAGAAAUCUGGAGAUGGAGUCUCACCAUGUUGUUGUCCAGGCUGGUCUCAAACUCCUAGGCUCAAGAGAUCUUCCCACCCUGGCCUCCCAAAGUGUUAGGAUUACAGGCAUGAGCCACUGUACCUGG